rnacentral:rRNA from 1 species
GACGAACGCUGGCGGCGUGCCUAAUACAUGCAAGUAGAACGCUGAAGAGAGGAGCUUACUCUUCUUGGAUGAGUUGCGAACGGGUGAGUAACGCGUAGGUAACCUGCCUUGUAGCGGGGGAUAACUAUUGGAAACGAUAGCUAAUACCGCAUAACAAUGGAUGACACAUGUCAUUUAUUUGAAAGGGGCAAUUGCUCCACUACAAGAUGGACCUGCGUUGUAUUAGCUAGUAGGUGAGGUAAUGGCUCACCUAGGCGACGAUACAUAGCCGACCUGAGAGGGUGAUCGGCCACACUGGGACUGAGACACGGCCCAGACUCCUACGGGAGGCAGCAGUAGGGAAUCUUCGGCAAUGGGGGCAACCCUGACCGAGCAACGCCGCGUGAGUGAAGAAGGUUUUCGGAUCGUAAAGCUCUGUUGUAAGUCAAGAACGGGUGUGAGAGUGGAAAGUUCACACUGUGACGGUAGCUUACCAGAAGGGGACGGCUAACUACGUG